UUCCGGUUGAUCCCGCCGGAGGCUACCGCUAUUGGAGUUCGAUUAAGCCAUGCGAGUCGCGAGAAAUUAGAUUCUCGGCGUACCGCUCAGUAACACGUGGGUAACCUGCCCUAUGCUGGAUAAUAACCUCGGGAAACUGAGAAUAAUGAUCCAUAGUUCACUACGCCUGGAACGGUGAGUGGAUAAAAGCCCCGGCGGCAUAGGAUGGGCCUGCGGCGUAUCAGGUUGUAGGGGGUGUAACGUACCCUCUAGCCCUCUACGCGUACGGGUGUUGGGAGACAUAGCCCGGAGAUGGAUUCUGAGACACGAAUCCAGACCCUACGGGGUGCAGCAGGCGCGAAAACUUGGCAAUGCGAGAAAUCGUGACCAGGGAACUCCAAGUGCAUCGGGUAAGACCGGUGCUUUUCUUGACUCUAAAAAGGUCUUGGAAUAAGGGGUGGGUAAGGACGGUGCCAGCCGCCGCGGUAAUACCGGCGCCUCAAGUGGUAGUCGCUUUUAUUGGGCCUAAAACGUCCGUAGCCGGUCUAAUACAUUCGUGGGUAAAUCAACCAGCUCAACUGGUUGAAUUCUGCGAGGACGGUUAGACUUGGGACCGGGAGAGGUGUGGGGUACGCUCAGGGUAGGGGUAAAAUCCUGUCAUCCUGAGCGGACCACCUGUUGCGAAGGCGCCACACUAGAACGGAUCCGACGGUCAGGGACGAAGCCUAGGGGCACGAACCGGAUUAGAUACCCGGGUAGUCCUAGGUGUAAACGCUGUGGACUUGAUGUUGGAGGAGCUCCGAGCUCUUUCAGUGUCGAAGCGAAGGUGAUAAGUCCACUGCCUGGGAAGUACGGUCGCAAGGCUGAAACUUAAAGGAAUUGGCGGGGGAGCACCGCAACCUGAGGAUUGUGCGGUUUAAUUGGAUUCAACGCCGG
rnacentral:rRNA from 1 species